AAGGGCAAAGCUGUGUUCUUACUUUUUACAAGCUGGUUGGGAGGAUGUGAAUGAUUUUAUUGGAUCAGAUCAAAGGCCUGUUAAAAGUCUCUGUAUUCCAGAGACUUUUAGUGGAAAUAUAAAGGCUUUUAUGAAUGAAACACCUGCAGAAUUGUAUGUGUGUGAAGCCAGCAUAAGAAACAUCAGGACAAGGGUUGAAAGGAUGCUGCAUGUUAUUGUGAAAAGCCACAUUUCUCUGGGAAGCUGUCCUUGGCUGUAAAAUUAGGAUGGUGUGCUUGGCAAUGCAUGCACUCUGGUAAGCUGCAGCAUGAAUGAUUCAUCAGGAGCAGACCCUGCUCCUGAAGUGCACAAGGCAGGUUACAGGAUUGUGUCUCAUAUCUUAUGUGCCAUUUGUUUUCCUGUUACUCCACCAUGAAUCAGUCAUGGAGAGAGAGACAAUGAGCAGCAGUCUGCUGUUUAUUGAGGCUGCAGUAAGUAGAAUUCUGGAGCAAAGGACCACCCCAUCAACAGCUGUUGACUCCUGAAGGGUGUAAAACAUUUUUCCAAAAUCUAGUUCAUGAAUAAUGUCAGAGGUGUGGUGAGGCCUUGAUAGCUGGCAGCGUUCAUCCUUGGUGUUGUACCCAAAUGGGUUUUCCCCAGAUGCUUGUUGGGAAUCCAGGGUAUGGGAAUGUGAGUAGGUGGAACCUGGGAGAGAGGGAGUGAGACUUAGAGAUUUUGUGAAUAGCCAUCACUUUCUCUAGCAGUGCACUGAGUUUUGUCAUACUGAUUUUUCCCACAGAUUGUGACAGUGCCCAAUAGCAGACAGGUAGGGGAACAGAAGACAGCUCUGUGUGUGUACUGACACAUUCCAGAAUAUCUCUUCCAAGCUGAAAACCCCUGACCUCUGUUUAUUCCUCAGGUGGAAGUGAUUCCAUGCUGGUGUUUAUCCUUGACAGUCAUAUUUUUGUAACUUUUUUCAGUUAUUUUUGACUACACCUGUAUGUGAGAUUAUUUGAAAUGUGCUCGGUAGGGUAUGGAGAUGAAGGCAGUGGAUUAUUAUGACAGGACUUAUUUGGUACCACAGAUGUAGAACUGGAAAUGCCUGUCACUGAAUCCAAGAGCUGAUAUCCCAAGUUACUGCAUAAUCUAUAACAUUCUGUUUUCCAUCGAAAAUCCACACUAGCAAGGCUGGCUGUGCAAAGAUCAGAGGUUUGCCUAACCAGGGGCUCAGGACAUGUCCGAGGAGAUGUCCACAGAAGAGUUCAGGAACAGAAUCACUUGAUGUAGCUGAAUGCUACUCUGGGGAUUUGGGGGUUUAAAUUUUUGCCCUUUUUGUUUUUCUGUUGAAGUGAGUAGCUGGAGACAUUAUUUUCUAUCUACAUAAUCUCUUUCUAUCUGUAAAUGGAUUGUUAUCAAGCCUUUAAAGCUUCUUAACUAACUCAAAUGUUACAUUUUAUUCACAACGUGUGAAUUGCAUAGACAAAUACAAAUAAUGCAUUUCUAGAAAUCAAACUAGGGUUUUAAAAUGAAUAUCUGGACCACAACUCUGAAUUUCUGUACACUUUGCUGAGCUACAUUUUCACUUGAAACAGAAGAAGGAAAAUAGCUUGCUUUGCAGUGCCUAGUUGUGUUCAAAGCAGAAUAAUGAGGUGAAGAUUACCACGAGUCUACUUUCAUGCUCUUCUCAGCCCAGGCAGUGCUCAGUGAGUCUGAGUGUGAUUAAUGUUUAUUCACUGAUUGCUCUUUGAGUAGUUUACUGAAGAGGGAGUGGGUUUUGGUGAGAAUGAGUUAGCAGUGGAAGGUGGCAUGAAACAAGAGGGAAAUGAAAGGGAUACGACUGCAGUGUAAUUUGUUCAUUUAGGGUAGCUUUCUUGAAAUCCCAUUAUCACCACUUUAGCUGCUAUUUGAUUGCUAGAAAAUAUAUUAUUUGGUAAAUAAACUUCCUAUAGAUGGGAGCAACCCUGAUGCUACUUUGGUAAAACUGGGUAAUACUUAUGGUAGGAUGCACUGGAUGCUGAUGGUAAAACUCAAAUAUUUAGAAGACCUUUUGAUAAGAUCCUUCUAAGAGAAGCACACACUUCCCUUGGGAGAGGCUGUGGUGGCUCUACUUGCAGUCCCUUCCUGUGGUCCCAGCAACUGCAGGAGGAUCUGCUCUUUGAAGAAGGAGGAGUGUGGUCUUGCUCAUCCCUUACCUGAGCUAAAGUCAGAGGAAAACUUGUGUUCCUUAUCUCGUCUGACAAGUGCUGCCUGUCUUUUACUGUGCUUCAUCCUGUAUGAGCCAGAGCUGGUGUUUGGAUUCUUUGUUUUUCUCUUUCUUUUGGACAGAGGCUUGAUAACAGUUUCUGUAUGGUUUUUCUAUGUCAUCUGUUCCUUCAUUUUUGAAACUAGAUCAACUGGCUGAUAUUUGGGUGGCAGUGGCUUAGUUUGGACGAAUAUAAAUAAACUUGAUUAGUGGGCAUGUUGACACGUGUUUGUCUUCAGAUGAUUCAAAAAGCACAGGGUGAUAUUUUUCCUAGGUACCUCUUUAAGGUUUCUUUGCAGCAAUGUGUGCUGCUGCCCUUACCUCAGAACUGCCUGGUGGUGUCUCUGCUGUGUUGGUAAUUUUACAGGGGUUCAGAUUUGUGUUUUAGCUUUCACCUUGAGUUUACAGUUCUGUUGUUACUGUUUUGUUGAUAGUGAAACUUACAGACAAGGCAUCUAAAUGUUGAUUAAAAUUGUUGAAAAGGUAGCAACUUGGUAAGCCAAAUAUCCUGAUAAACCCAUAUGACAUUUUCUGCACCAGGCAACUCAUUUCUUGCUGCAUUUGCCUUUUAUAUUUAAGUUUUGCAUUAUAAACAACAAGGAAAAAAAGAAAGGUUUAAAAUUCUUUUUUUCCUCUAUGGAAUUGCUUAAUGAAAAUUUUUAGAAGGACCAAAUGCUUUAAGUGUUACCUUCAUUAAUGGUUUAAAGCUACUUGCCUAGUGAAACAGGAAACCUUGUCUUUAGGAAGGAUGAGAUGAUUUUUGAUACAAGUAGAGAAAUGUUUUUUGAGCUGUGCUGUUAGCUCAGUUACCAAAGUCUGAAGAAAACUAACUAAUUAAGGAUAAAUGGACAUUUUUUUCUUCACCUGGAACUAAGUAGUCUAAAAAUGUUUCAAAUGGGAGUGAUGAAGUUUGUCAAGUGACCUUUUAGGUAGAAAUGGGCUGUUGUUAAGUGAACCUCGCUGCUAAUCCGCUCUGUGUGUCGCAGGGUGAUGAAGCUGCUCUGCUGGGAUUUUCACGUGGGAGUAGCAGGGUACAGCCAUCAGGGACCGGUCACAGGAGCAGAAAGUUGUCCUUGCUCAGAAGGAGGGGUCUGCAGCCCCUGGCUCGGCAGGCUGUGGGUGCAGCCGGCAGGGACGGGUGACCAUCCCCGGCCGGCACAGCAGAGGGCACUGCUGGUUUCCAGAUGCCGCAGCCAAAGCUGCACGUUUGAGGGGUUUCCUAUUUAAUUCCUUGAAUACCGUGUCGGAAGGGAAAGCAUCUGUUAAGAAGAAACCUAACUGAUUAUGUCUAAAGUUCAGAUAGAAGGGAUUGGAUUGGUAUUAGUACAUUAUAAUAUCUAAUUUGUGAAAGAGAGAGAUUAGAAAUUAUUCUUCCAGUCACAUGCAUGUUUUUAAAUUAACUUAGCCACAGGUUCUUUGCUGAAAGGAUUAGUAAAUUUGAGGAAGGUGUCUGUGUAUUUAAAUGUCACUCUUUAAAAAAAAUAAAAUCUCAGUACUCAUUAAGAAAGAAAAUAAAAAAAAAAUCAUAGGUCAUAUAAAUAACUGUUUCAUCUGUUUAUGUUUUAGGGGAGAAAUUAAAAACUAAAACACAAAGUGACAAUUUAAAAGGAAUGUAUUACAUUUCUGAAAGCUACAUGGGUGUCUUUGUAAAGAAAGUGUAGUUGACUUUUUGUGCAGUAUCUGGGCAUCCUCAGGUUAAAAUAGUGUGUGACACUGGAUGUUUUGAAAUAAAAUAGUAAAAAAAUAUUAAAAUUAUUUUAAUCUAAUAAUUAAUGGGAACUAUUUCUCUCAAUCUAUCUUCCCGCCUAGGUUAACAUCUAGAAGAUAAUUUCCCUGAAGUUGCAGUUAUUUGAGAGCAAAAAUACUAAUUACUAUUUAGUGCAAUUUUCACUUGUAAUUUUCGUAAUGUAAUACUUCUUAGUAUACCCAGAAUCUUUGUGUGACUGGAGUGCUUUACUAGUGCUAGUAAAUAACAUUCUUUGUUUGAUUACAAAUAUGACAGCAUUCUAUAAAACCUAUAUGCCAGGCACAGACGUCACUGUUUUGGGUGGAUUAUCUUCUGGCCAGCAUUCAGGUGCUGGAAACUGCGGCUAACUGAGAGAGGGACAUGCCAGUUGUGGGGUUUGUGGGAUCUGGAAGUUUCUCUUGAUUUCCUUUGCCAGAUUGUAAUUCUGUGUUUGAGAAGCUUGCGUUAUGUGUGCUCAUGCUAUGCUGUGAACUCGUCCUGGUGCUUUCAGGUUUGUGCUAAAUAAGGACUAUGUCACAGCCUUCUCAGCAUCCUCUCAGCUGGAUCUGCUUGAAAUGCAGGUUUGUAUUACAGUAGGAAUCAACCUGUUUGUCCUUCUUCUGACCUCUGUGGAGGAGCAGUUCUGUCUUGUGCAUGCUCUGGCUGAGGCACCAAAACUUGUCUGUUCUGACUUGGAUUUGUCCCAGCUGAAGGCUGGGUCAGUCAGAUGACCUGCUUUGCAUGUGACAGAAGUGCUUGCACGACAGGAUUUUGUCAAACUCGCCCAGAGUGACACUCUGGAAGGAAGCAGACAGGACUUCUGAUGUUGGGCAACAGAAGAAUGAUGCAUGCUGCCCUUUGGAGGACUUAAUUAUAGUACAGUAACACUGUCACUGCUGCCUGUCACAGCCAUGUACUCAGGGACACAAAUCCAUGUGGGAAGGCCCUUAGUCCUUGGCUGACUUGAGGAAGAUGAAGAUCACAGCUCUGGAGGAGUUCUCUCUGGAGCUUGCUCCCUCAGAUAGCUCUGGGCUGGCGAGUUGGUUGCUUUGGCAUUGCUGGGGGUCCAUGCGUGGUAGGUGAUAUACCCUUGAUGACUGGCUUUCAUAGUGAAAUCCCCAAAAUUAAACUGUCUUGGGACUGCCAGUGUCAUGGAGAAAAGGAAGUGCAUGGCAGCUGCCUGGGCUUGAUUGACUGCGAGUGAGAUAUCUGGAAGAAGGUGCAUGCAACCAUAAUGUGACAGUUAAAUAGGAAUUGAAAUCCUUCCUAGUGGUUACUAUUAUCAACAGGAUAUUUGCAUCCCCUGCUGCUGUGGGAGAGCCCAGUUAUUCUGCUAUUAUGACUAUUGAAACAGCAUACUGUCCCCCAGGAACCUGGAAAAAAAAGAAGUGCCUGGAAGAGCAGGGUAGUGAUAAAUGGAGAAAGGCAGAUACUGGGCUCAAAACACCAUGGGCUGUUCUCAGGACUGUGUGUGCUCAUCUGGUUAGAUUUUCUUUUUGGCAUAAUCCAUUGCAGUAGGUUCACCCACUUUCUGUGAUUUAGAUGCUAAUGUUCUAUUUGUUUGCUAUAAAGUUACCCUUGAAAGAAAUAUAUGGAUAAAUACUUCAUGUUUUAAAUUCUAUAUAGAAGUUAUUUAAUUUCAAGAAAAAACAAGCUGCUUUAUUGUGACUAAAUUCUGUGCUAUUUUGUGUUGUGAAAUAAAAUCUUAGCUCAGCGUUGUUUAGUAAAUGAUCCACCUGGCUAGUCAACAGCAUAUUUUCAAAGCAGCAUUUGAAAUUCUUUAUGAAAGUCUUGUUUUGCAGUUUCUUUGCUCUGUAUCCAGUCAAAAUGUGAAGAUAAAUGGAAAACCUUCCUUUUACUACAAACACAAAGAAGCUGGUAUUGAGUCAACCAGUGCAGCAGAUUGUACAUUUAUAAGACAUGUUGGGCUGGAGACGAUCACUGGGGCCAUGUAGGCUGACUUUGACUGACAUAAGGCAGUGAAUUUCAGCCAGAGACUUUUGCAUUUACCCUAGCAAGCAUGUCUUUCAGGUAAAUUUGUGGAUUUGAAAAUUGGUAAAUACCCUUUGCUCUUGUGAGACCCCACCUGGAGUACUCCAUCCAGUUAUGGGGUCCCCAGUAUUUGAAAGAUGGAGUGAAUCCAGGGGAGGCCACAAAAAUGAUAGCAGGGCUGGAGCACUGCUGCUAUGAAGAAAACAGGCUGAGGGAGUUGGGGUUGUUCAGCCUGCAGAAGAGAAGGCUCUGGGAAGACCUUUCUGUGCACUUUCAACAUAAAGUAAAAAGUCCCUCUCAGCCUUUAUUAGUAGGGCCUGUAGUGGUGGGGGCAAUGGUUUUAAACUGGAAGAGGGUGGCUCUACGUUGGACAAAAGGAAGAACGGUGGGGGUGGUGGAGCACUGGAAUAGGAAGCUGUGGAUUUCCCAUCCCUGGAAGUGUUCAAGGCCAGAUUGGAUGGGCCUCUGGGCAGCUGGAUCCAGUGGCAGAUGUCGCUGCUCAUGGCAGAGGCCAUUAGGACUAGGUGGCCUUUAAGGUCCCUUCCAGCCCAAACCAUUCUGUGGAAAAAUAUCAGUCGUAAUAUGUGUGUGUAAGAAAGCAACAUCCAUCCAAGUUUCUAUUCCAGUGUUACCUUUGGUGUUUUCAGCCUUUGAGGGCAGUUGGAUAUCCAGUUGAUGUAACUAUCUAAAUGGGAUUUCCUAGAGGCUUUUUAUUAGUGUUAUUUUAGUUUUUUUAGGUCUAAAUUGAUAACUAAGUAGGAUAUUCUUCAUAUUCCAGUGCUUAUAGCUUGGAUGAUUUCAAAUGGAGUGGUAAGAGCAGCUCUAAGUUUGCAACUAAGAUUUAAAAUACUGUCAGAUUGUUUUGUCCAAGUUGCAAAGAAGGCUUAUGGAGUAUUUCAUGCUGUCUGAGAUAUUCACAGGGGAGAGGGUGCUUUCCUCCAGAGAGUUCAGUUCAGUAUGCUCACAGGUAUGCUGGGACUUUGUGACUUCCAGCACGUGUGCAGCAGGCACUACAAGAUUUUACCUUCAUGCCAGCAAUGAGGGUGGAAUUCUGUGCUCCUUAAAGCCUAAUUCUGAAGUAUGAACCAAAACAAGGACUCAGGGCUUUCAUGAGGGGGAUUUUACAAAAUACUAUUAGGCUUUGACAAUAAAAUCUAAAAUCCACUAAAAAUCUUAAUAUCAGGAGGGAAGUUGAAGUAAUGCUUUGCCAAAACACUUAGUUACUGCUCCUCAUCAAGGGAUGGUUCAAUGCCUCAUUUCAGCUUCUUCCAACCUUUUUAGCUGACAACUUUUGUGUGGUUUGCAUUUUAGAAUAAAACCAUAUUUCUUCACUGUGCUGAGGAGAGUGUAUGGAUGUUCCACUUUUGAUUGAAACAGCAGAAGUUUGCUUUGCUUACUGGUCAUUCUUUAGGGGUACUUGCAGUUUUAAAAUUAUAGUAUGAAAUAACUCUGGACAAUUAAAACCUGAAGUAUGCAAAGUUUUUGACAGUUAAUAAAAAUUUAAUAAAGAAUGAAUACAUAGCAGUCAAUUUACCUCAUCCUCUUAUAGGCAAAACAGAGCUGUUUCCCUUGCUUUUUCUCAUCAUAAAAUCAGAAAGAUUUUUUUUCCCUCCAAAUGCUACGGGUUUGGAGGAGAAUCUGGUGCUUACCAUGUUCUUCUUGAAUAUCAUUUCUGUAGUACCACAUUGUAUCAAAAAGUGGUUCUGUUUUCUUCUCCCCUCUCCUACUUUUUUCAAAACUUUACUUUAAAAAGUUGAGUACAAAUACCAUCUGUGUUUAUUUGCAAACUAUAGAAUUAAGAGUUUUCUACCACUGUUGGUGCAAUUCAAAUCAUUACUCAAACUGAGAAGAAAUGAAGGAAUAUGGUGUCUGCUGGAACUCUUAGUUACACUGUUAUUUCUUCUACUGGCCUGUAGAUAUUAUAAUAAUAAUAAUUAAUUAAUUAUAAAUAAUUAAUAUUAGACUAGAUCCUUAUAACUAAAAUAAUUCCCUUAUAGAAUUCAUAACAUGCUAGCUGGUGUGGAAGUGUUGUCUUCAUGGAAAUUUAGCCUUGAAUAACUGUUGCAUAGGACAUGAUUAAUAUGAAGCUUUUUAUAAAUAUCGUGUAUAUAUACAUAUAUAUAUAUGUGUGUGUGUGUGUGUGUAUCUUGUAAAUAUCUAGCAGGGAAACUUCCAGUUUUUUCCUCGACUGCUUUCAAAGCUCUUCUUCGUGACUUUGCAGUCAUUAAACUUAGAUUUUUCCCUAAAUGACUGCUUUGAAUAACAAAUCCUUGUUUUAUGCUUUCUGUUUGGACUCUUUACUUCAGUAGUUUUAUUAAAUCUUGCUUUUGUUUAAGCUUCAUUCAGUAUUUAGUCUUCAAAACCUUUUGUUAACAAGAAGUUUAAAUCAGUUCUUCACUUUAAUCUUUAUUCCACAGAAUAAAGUGGAAAAGUCUCUUGUUUAAAGGAAACUGAAGAGGUCUUCCCUGUCUUUGUGGUUGCCCACUUUGGGUUGUAAAUUGAAUCUGUGGGGAAACAGCAUAAACUUCAGUUUUUUGAUUUUUUUUUUCAUUGGAACAAAACCUCAGGCCACUCACUGGGGAGGAAAAAGCUGUGUUCUUGGGAGGAUAAAUGUAAAACAGAGAGUAGACUUUAAAGAAUAGACUCUGUCUUCAUGCUGUCUUUGGUUAUACUUGUGCCUGUGCUGUAUGUGGCAAGAUGUGCUGUUAUUUAUGAAUAUUAGUAGGUGAAUUUUAUGGCUUUUAUAUUUAGUUAUGUUAUGCUAGGUAAAUUCUGUGUCCUUGUUUAUUCUUGUAUAGCUCUGCCUAAUCUGAUCUUCCUAUUUUCUACUCUGUUCAUGGUUUCACCUGUCUGUUUUAUCCAUAAAUAUGCGGAGUUUUUUAAGUAAUAGUAUCUUAAAAUUUUCAUUGGUACAUAUUGCAGAAUUAAACAUUUGGCUUCAAAAAAAUUUUAAAAUAGCCUUAUACAUUUUUGAAGCACUGGCAUCAUGCUGCUGUUUAUUUUCUGUGUUGUCUAUGUGUAUGAGUGGCAUAGAUUACCGAGCAAUUUACAGAUUGUCUUCCUUAAUACUGCACAAGAUGAAUGUCUUUGGCAAAUAAGAGAAUAACAAGUAAUUUGAUACUUUUUUUCCAAUGGUUUUCAAAUACUAGAAUAGAGAUGGAGAAGAGAUGGUUCCUGUCUUUGCAUUACUGUUCACAUUCAAGUCCAAAAGAUGCUCUUGAGUUAUAUUUCAUCUUAGACUUCUGAUUUCAUAGAAUCAUAGGAUGACCUGAGUUGGAAGGAACCUUAAGGAUCAUCUAGUUCCAACCCUCCUUCCAUGGGCAGGGACACCUUCCACUGUACCAGGUAUCUCAGAGCCCUGUCCAAGCUGGCCUUAAGCACUUCCAGGGAUGGGGAAUUCACAGCUUCUCCAUUCUUCCAUGGCACUACAGAAUACAAACAAGUCAUGUAAUGUACAAGUAUUGGUUAGAUUUUAUUCCUCUUUAUUGUUUACUGUUUGCUGUUAUAUCUGUUGAAUAAUAAACAAGUAGGUGAACCCCUGAAGAACUAUAGUUUGUGUUGUGUGGAAAAGUAAUGGUAGGCACAAAUCUUCUCCAAAGGAGUAGGUUGUAUAAUACUGUAGUUAGUUCUGUAUACUGACGUGUCACUAAUGGUUUUCUGGAUCUCAGGAUGUAUCUAAGCUGUGGGACAUGGUUUAAAAAACCAAGGAAGGAAAAAAACCCAGUUAUGUGUCACCUUGUCCCUUGGGUAGAAGUACAGUUGGUAGAGACCCAAGGUGGGCAGUGCAGGAUGUUUUGCUCAGUGCAGAAUUACUUCAGAAGAGACAAAAUGUCUGUGACUACUUGAGGUGUGGAGGUUUAGUGGAAAUGCUGUCUUGAUAGAUAAUGGCUGUACAGUAAAAUGAGCCUGAAUAGUCAAAGCUUAGUUGGUUUUUAAGAAAUGUAGCUCAGGCAUGUACUAGAUGUUGGCUGUAUUUUUUGACUAAGUAAGUAAUAAAUGUUAAUAUCCAUUCUAACACUUUAAAAAUAUUUUUCCCUAAACUUUUUUUCCCUACUAAUAUGGGAAGCAGAGUUUUUUCUUUGGAAAAGCUCCAAGAAUCACUGUUUACUGCUAGGCACAAAGUUGUGAACAUGAACAAAGUUGAAGGUGGAGAAGCUACAUGAACUUACUUGGUCAAGGGGAGACUGAGAGCUGUUCAUCCCUGAAAUGAGUUAAAGGCAUGAUGCCUAAAGUUUGAGUGGUUAUAUUCUGGGAGGAGAAUAAGAUACAUGGAGCUUCUCAAGAAGGACUCAACCAGCAUUAGAACAAAUAGUUUAAUAUAUAAAAAGAAGUCAGCACCUAGAGAAGACACUUUGAGAUGCAAUUGCUUGUAUGCUUAUAUGUUAAAAUUUCAGUCACUGUAGUCAUGCCAGUUCACUUCCUGCUUCUCAUGAGUGUUUGUUUCUUGGGAUAACAUCAGUAUCAGGGAAACUGUGUUGGUGAAAACAAAGCUUGAUGGUUAUUCUUUGAUAAAUUCAGGAGAGUUCUCAAGUCAAUGCUUCUUGGGCUUCUUCUGGAUGGAAGGCUGCUAACUGUUGGAUGUCAGAUUUUGUGGUGUAGUGUCUGAGCUGGUCCUGCUGUCUUUAAGGUGAUAUUCUUCUGCAUGAUGGAGUUCUGACUUAAAUACAGAUUGUUGCUUUCAAGUAAAAAGUAGUAAAAGAAGAAAUUUAGUAAGUAAACUGCAUGAAUCUCUAUGACCUGUUACCCUAGUAAUGCCUUCAAUGCUUAACAAAAUUCUGGGAUUUAGGUUUCUAUCUAAGCAACAGUGCACACCUCCAAUAAUUAUAAGGUAUGGAAAAUUAAAGUUUGCUGGGCUAGUAGAUAGUAGAAAUUUUUACAUUGCUUGUUGAAAUAAGUGCAUUAUCAAUAUAUACUUGUUUUGUGGGGAGCUUAAUAUGUUGAGUUUUGUUUUAAUAUUCUUUAUAGCAGAUUCCAGUCAUCUUUCCUAAGUAAAAUAGUCCGUGUUGAAAAUUAACUCAGGAGAUUAUCUGUUCACAGCCCUUGUUCCAAGCUGGAUAUACUUAGCUGAGGUUGCUCAAGGCCUUUUCCAGUCCCAUUUUGGAUAUCUAAGCUAUUGGGGCCCUUGGCUAUUGAGGAUUCACAUUAACUUAUUACUGCAUGUUGGUUUUUCCAUUUUGUUGUUUCGUGUAAUUAAGUUUGGACAGAAAGGUCCAUCUAGCUAGGGAGGACAGUGCUGAGGAAAACCAAUUUGAUAGUUACAGAGGGUUGUGUUCUUUGCAUGCUGCUAGAUGUUAAUAUGUCAUUCACCCCUUAAUUGUAGCAAUCAGAUUGCCAAUCUCCCAUCUCUCCUCAUCUGUAUCUCUCACAUUCCAGUGUGCAUUCUACUUGCCUUUGCAAGCAGACAUAAAGCAUGUAGCCUGUGUUUUCAGAUAUUUUGCUCAGUGGGUGGGAUAGGGCCACCCUGCUUGUACAGUCAUAGGCUUUGCUCCACAAAUAGUAUGUUGCAUUCCUCCAUUGCAGUUACUUCUUUUGUUUGGAUCCUACUGGGGUUUAAGUCUAUGACUUUUCCCACUCUGUGGUUAAUAUGUAUCAUCUUGGAGAGUUCUGUUUCUGAAAGAGCUGCUGCUUUUUUGUUGAACUGUGCACAUUGAAAGUGGUUGGUAUCCAAAUAUGUACAAAAAAUACUUUAAAAUCCAGAAAUUAGAAGGAAAAUUAAACAAAUUUGGCAUUUAAGGAGGAGGAGGGUGAAAAAAAGCCUUUAUACUUCAGGUAGUUGAAAAAAAUGUACUAUUUGUGCUUCUAAAUUUUGUAAUAAUCUCCAGUUUUUUGUGACUUGACAUGUUAUCAGUGCAUCAUCUAUCAGAGCUGCAUGGCCAGCACUCCUUGAGAAUCAGAAAAGUAAAGUGCUUAAUAAAGAGUGUUGCCCUGUUA